rnacentral:rRNA from 1 species
UACGAAGGGGGCUAGCGUUGCUCGGAAUCACUGGGCGUAAAGGGUGCGUAGGCGGGUCUUUUAAGUCAGGGGGUGAAAUCCUGGAGCUCAACUCCAGAACUGCCUUUGAUACUGAGGAUCUUGAGUUCGGGAGAGGUGAGUGGAACUGCGAGUGUAGAGGUGAAAUUCGUAGAUAUUCGCAAGAACACCAGUGGCGAAGGCGGCUACCUGGCCCAACAUUGACACUGAGACCCGAAAGCAUGGGGAUCAAACCAGGAGUUAGAAAC